GUUUGACAAUAUUAAUCGUAUCUCUAAGUAGGUAUAAAUAGAUAAACUUACAGAAAUGGUACGAUUGGAUCUGUAAUCGGGUAAAGUACAUUUAUUUGUCGAAUCUGUAUUAGAUGUAUUGUGCUCUAGAUCCAAAUUAUAUUUCAAUGUGAUGAAUUAUUGCUACACUCUGAAGGCGACAAUGCAUCUCCAAACAUAUGCACCUUGUUCCUUCUCUUUUGCUUAUGUGGGGGUUGGUGGAGGCGAGAGAGCAUCAA
rnacentral:misc_RNA from 1 species